CAGUCGCCACGGGAAUACAGAGGGUGCGAGCGUUAAUCGGAUUUACUGGGCGUAAAGCGUGCGUAGGCGGCUUCUUAAGUCGGAUGUGAAAUCCCUGAGCUUAACUUAGGAACUGCAUUCGAUACUGGGAAGCUAGAGUAUGGGAGAGGAUGGUAGAAUUCCAGGUGUAGCGGUGAAAUGCGUAGAGAUCUGGAGGAAUACCGAUGGCGAAGGCAGCCAUCUGGCCUAAUACUGACGCUGAGGUACGAAAGCAUGGGGAGCAAACAGGAUUAGAUACCCCUGUAGUCCCUGUCUCUUAUAA
rnacentral:rRNA from 1 species